AUGCAGUGAUGAUCUCUUAAAUUGUGCUUUCAGCUCACUGAUGGUUGAAUGAAGAUGUGAAUUUCAUUGGCUGUUUCUGAGCAU
rnacentral:snoRNA from 1 species